GAUUGAGAUUAAGAGAAUAAGAGUGAAACCAAAAUUCUCCAAGUGAGUCCCUCCCUAAUGAGUGAAGAAUGAUUUGAUUUAUAGAAGUUGAAGAGCAUAACUGAAUUGGGCAAUCCGGUCAGGGGUUAGGGCACAUAUAAUAGAGUUAGAAUUGCUCAAUGAAGGUUGGUUAGGUGUUAGUGAACCGUUAAUGAACUGUAUUAAAUUCCCUCGAGAGUUUUUAUGAAUUUUCUACCUAUUAAAGAAAACUCUUAGUUUAUUGUUAAGCCUUAUGAGAAGUUCAGUUGGAUUUGGUUGGAUGUUAAAGUUAGUUUCAAUUAUGUUACUUGCUAUUUGAAUGUUAAUUUGUUAUUAGUAGGUUAUAGUUAUGCAGCUAGUGAAUUUAACUUAGUUAGUUAGCAUUAGUCAAAGGAGAAUUAGUUGAUGUUAGAAAGUUGAACUGUUAUUGCUCUGUUAGUGAAAUGUUAGUUAAACUAACUGUUAGUGGAUUGUCAGUUAGGUAAAAUGCUAAUUACUUGAACUGUUAUUGAUUGUUAGAAAUUCAGUUAGUUGAAAUGUGAUAAAAUGUUAUGUUAUUGUUGUUAUGGAAUUAGUUAGUAAUGUGAAUAUGUAAGCAAUAUUUGUUAAUCAGUUAGCUUGCAUUGUUAUGAUUGUUAGUGAAUGAUUUGGAUUUUGAUGUUGAUUAAAUUGAUGUGAUUAAAAUUAAAAAAAGGUUAGUUGGCUAUGCAUUGUUGUAUGAGUGAAUCCCACGAUCGCCAACAAUUGCUUAGUUGAGCUUUCAUGAGCUUCUUGAGGCAAGACAUAAAAACUCGAAUGUUGUUAGUUAGCUUAGGCUGCUUUUGAACUGAGUUUGCAUCAGUGGCUCUAUCAACAUGUUGAUUGAAUGGUUUGGAAUGUUGUAGGUAACCUGCUGCUAUACCCUUCCAGAUUUGUGUAGCAUAAUGAAUAUAGAUGUGGGUUGCAACUUGUGUUUCUUAUUUUGAAAUAUUUGUGCAUUGCUCCACUAUUAUGAUGGAUUGAUGGACUGAUUAAAUGCAUUGUUGCAGGUUUGCACAUGAGUCUUGUUGUUGUUGUUUUGUAUUGGCUGCUACAAGUGGAUAUUGAUUGUUCAUGGCCUUAGGGACUUGUGGAAUUUUGGCCUGCACGAAAGAGACAAGAGCCAAGGCUUAUACAGGUUGUGUCAUGCUGAAAUUGGUUAGCUAUGUGAUGGGUUGCAAUAUUGUUGUGCAUUGCUGCUGCAACAAGGUAUGCAUUGUUGUUGGUAUGUAUGCAUAAAUGUUUUAGGAUGAUGCACUUACCCAUACUAUGUUUGUCAUGGAUGAUUGGUUGGUAUGCAUGAUUGAAUGCAGGACUGGUUUAUGGAUGACAAGGCUUGUGGCUUAUAGUAUGAUGGCAAGCAAAGUGACUAAGUUCAAAGACAAGGCCAAUGCAAAUUUACAAGAAAUGUGAUUUCUUUUUUUUAAAGCAACAUGAUGAUGGGAAGUCAAGGAAUAGUGCAAGACUAGGAAUAUAGAUAAUAUUAGGACUUUAGGAUGAAAAAAAUGUAAUGGUUGACUUUGGUCAACUGGUUGACCAAAAAGUCAACAGUUGACCAAAAGGCAACUUUUGUAAAAAUGCAUUUUUUUUGUAAUGAACAUUGUAUAUGCUAAUGAAUGAAGGAAAACAACUUUAUUUGAAUAAAAUGACCAUUAUGAUUGAAUCCAUGUUUGAACUUCA
rnacentral:lncRNA from 1 species